rnacentral:rRNA from 1 species
GCAGGUCAGCAUACUGCCGUGAAUACGUUCCCGGGCCUUGUACACACCGCCCGUCACACCAUGAGAGUUGGGAAUACCCGAAGCCUGUGAGCUAACUUAUAGAGGCAGCAGUCGAAGGUAGAAUCAAUGAUUGGGGUGAAGUCGUAACAAGGUAGC